rnacentral:tRNA from 1 species
GAGGAUAUAGCUCAAGUGGUAGAGCGCAUGCCUAGCAUGCAUGAGGUCAUGGGUUCAAUCCCCAGUAGCUCCU